rnacentral:rRNA from 1 species
AGAGUUUGAUCCUGGCUCAGAACGUACGCUGGCGGCACGCCUAACACAUGCAAGUCGAACGAAGUAGCAAUACUUAGUGGCAGACGGGUGAGUAACAUGUAGGUAUCUGCCCUUUGGCCUGGAAUAACACGAGGAAACUUGUGCUAAUACCGGAUAAGUCUUUACGGAGAAAGCUUUAUGCACCAUUGGAUGAGCCUGCACUUGAUUAGUUUGUUGGUGGGGUAAUGGCCUACCAAGACUGUGAUCAAUAGCUGAUUUGAGAGGAUGAUCAGCCACAUUGGGACUGAGACACGGCCCAAACUCCUACGGGAGGCAGCAGUGGGGAAUCUUGCACAAUGGAGGAAACUCUGAUGCAGCGAUGCCGCGUGAGUGAAGAAGGCCCUUGGGUUGUAAAGCUCUUUCGUCGGGGAAGAAAAUGACUGUACCCGAAUAAGAAGGUCCGGCUAACUUCGUGCCAGCAGCCGCGGUAAUACGAAGGGACCUAGCGUAGUUCGGAAUUACUGGGCUUAAAGAGUUCGUAGGUGGUUGAAAAAGUUAGUGGUGAAAUCCCAGAGCUUAACUCUGGAACUGCCAUUAAAACUUUUCAGCUAGAGUAUGAUAGAGGAAAGCAGAAUUUCUAGUGUAGAGGUGAAAUUCGUAGAUAUUAGAAAGAAUACCAAUUGCGAAGGCAGCUUUCUGGAUCAUUACUGACACUGAGGAACGAAAGCAUGCGUAGCGAAGAGGAUUAGAUACCCUCGUAGUCCAUGCCGUAAACGAUGUGUGUUAGACGUUGGAAAUUUAUUUUCAGUGUCGCAGGAAACCGAUAAACACACCGCCUGGGGAGUACGACCGCAAGGUUAAAACUCAAAUGAAUUGACGGGACCCGCACAAGUAGUGGAGCAUGUGGG